rnacentral:tRNA from 1 species
CCGCCAUUAGCUCAUCGGGAUAGAGCGCCAGCCUUCGGAGCUGGCUGCGCGGGGGUCGAGUCCUCGAUGGCGGUCCA